ACUUAAAUAGUUUAAAUAAAACGUUAAUUUGUGGAAUUAGAGAUAUAAAAAUAAAUAUUUUAAGUU
rnacentral:tRNA from 1 species